GAAGGACAUUUUCAUUUCUAUUCACACCAGCUACACCACUUUCCACAAUGAAAAAUUGAAAAGAUAAUGGCAGAUGACACCCUACAGUUAUCCACGUGGCGAUUGCAAUAAAAAAAUCAAGGGCGCGUUUGCUUAGCUAUAUCUAUUCUUAGUAUAAAUACAGUUUAGGUAGCAUAAAAAGUUUGAUUAGACUAUGAAUUUUGUAAUUUUUUUAUUUUAUUUUUACAAAUAGCGCUUUAAUUGUCUUCACAUAAAACUUCCAUGGAUGGAUAGAUUGUAUUAAUUGGUAAAAUAAAGAGUUUGCCUUUAUUUCCAAUGAUGAAGAUGCAUAUUAAAAAUCAACUCAAUGUCCUUAAAGUUAAAGAGUGUACAAAUGAUAGCAAAAGAACUAUAAAAAAAACAAACGAAGUUAUUUACAACAUGAAAUGUCUGCAACAAAAAGAUGGACGAAAUCUUUUCAGACACUUGAAAAUUGAACAAUUGAAAGACGAUGCAAUCAAAAUUGCUCGGAAAUGAGAAAAUCGAGUAAAAGCAUUAUUUUUGUUAUACGUUUUGUCAUAUUGUUAGAACUAUCAAAAAUUGUGAAAAUCUUCAAAA